ACACGCACACACACACACAUUGAAAGGUUGUCCAAUGUGGAGUGGAAGACUCACACCGCUGAUGUGCGCGAUGCUGGACACGAUAUGUUCUCAUGGGUUCAUCCAAGACUAGCUGCGCAAAUCCGCGAAGAGGAGGAAGCUGGCGGUUAUCGCUUUCGUUUCCAUGGCGAAGGCUGCCACCACACCGGCCCGCAACCCUGUAUCAGGGUCUCUCCGCCAAACGGCCAUGGAAGGCAGCGCCGAUCUCCGUGGGAACGAGUCUUCCUCUUUUCCAAGCACCAUAAUCGACCCCUCGAUCAAGAGACCGCCGCAAAAUUGAUGGCGAAUCUGCAUGCCAACUCUAUCUGCCAGACGCACAUGCGUGAGCAAAUCUUAUCAGCGUCUUCUGCAAGCUUGGACAGCCAGCCCACUACCUACAACUACUGGAUUUGGUGAGCAAAGGACCGGAGGGGGGGGCCAUCGGACCACGCGGAAGGUGCCGCCCAUCUCCUGCGAGGCUUUGACCGACAUCAUUGCAGGGUUCACGCCUUCGUUCCUCUGUGCAAGUGUACCGAAUCAUGUGGAAGACAGCGUUCAGAUGGGGCGAUGUCAUCAGGACGACGACGACGGAGUUGUUUUUCUUUGCCUUGCCCGACGAGACAGUAAUUGACGUUGACGAGCCAAGACGAACCGCGGCGCACCGUACCUUACGGAGUUUUUCGUGGUGGUUGGCGAGCGCACAUGAGAGAUCCCAGUGCACCUGUGACGGUUGUGGAGGGCGGUUCCUACUCGGCAGACGCCGCUCUUCUCCUUCACAGGACAGGGAGGGCCCACCUUGCGUUGAAGGCUCGUGGUUUUCGCUUGCGCAGCAUCAAUGGUGGAGCGGUGGCCACACGAUGUUGGCCGGUAUAUCAGAGAACGAGAUCUACAAGCGCAACGCUGUCGUGCAGCACCCUCUCCACACCCUCUCUGUGCUGCGAGUGAUUCCGAGCAGAGGCGUGCGAUAUGCUCGCCAUAGGGUGCUGCUAGCGAGGAGACUCAUGCCUUAUUCCUGCACAGGGCUUCUUCAGUGGCCGGCUCGUGGCCGGGUAAUCCCUGGUUCGAUGAAAGCGUACGGAUUUCUCUCCUUCCCCAAAGGCGAGCGGGGCGGGGCGAGGGCAUCUACACUGCAGCUUAGCGCUUGUGCGCGCGUGCGGGGUCUUCGGGUGAGUGCACCGCUUCUCUGCGUUUUCGCAGGGUGCCCACGCUCCGCUGAGGUGCAAUGCGGCAUUGCAUGCGAGCGGGGUGUAGCAAGGCAUGGAUCGCUUGUGGACUCUGUUGGCUGAGGUGAGGGCGACACCCAGCCCCUGACCCACGCCUCUUGCUCAGCGGUGGGCAGCACAGUUGGCGGCCGUGGGGGUGGCGGCCAAGAUCGGGGAUACAGAGAUGGCGGAGCCAUUGCACUCGGCUUUCAGAGUGCUGUGGCAGAAGCUUGUUGGCGGGCGACUGCGGCUUGUCCUGUGGCCCCGCAGCCUCGUUACCAGCCGCUCCAUGGCAGAGCGUGACGACGGAUUGUGGGGGGGGGAGAGAGACGCGUAGCUCGACAUACUUGCUCUUCCAGGUACAGCUGCCGCGCAAACACCUCCGCGCUCGAUUUCGAUUCCGGGACGAGGCUGUCUCGUGCCACGAGAUGCGGGUGCCGCGAAUGGGGCUGCGCGUUGAUCCAGAGAUUAUGUAGGAACACACACACACACACACACACACUCAUGGCCACCCUUGGAGGCGGUCCCCGCCUACACGUGGGUGUAGAGGCGGCCUCUUCACAGACAACAGUAGUCGCACAGAUCGGCAGCCUGGACAUCGCAGGGAGGGGGAGAGGCAGCGGUGCGACCGUCGGCCACGCUGACGACAGGAGGAGGCGGUGUGCUGGCAAGCUUACUUCUGCGUGGGCACCCUUGAGCGGCGAUCUCGAUAAAGCUCCGCCAAGUCCCUGUGGCGCAGCGAGGGGCGUUCUCCUGGAAAGCUGUGGCUCGCUGCGCACGCUCUGGCGAUUCCAGCUUAUCGGGUGUCGGUGGCUGUUGGAAGCGGCCUGAGGGGUCACGGCAAAGCUGGGCCGAGGUCGCGUCGCCCUCGAGCAUGAAGCACAGCUGCAGUCCAUCGGCGCUGCAUCCACUGGAAGAAAAAAGACUGGUUUUCGCGCGCGAUCGCCAGCUGCCCACGCCAGGUUGCGGUUACGCAGCCGACGAGGCAGACCUUUAGCGCCGACACCGAUUCGUCCUCCGUUGGAUGGGGUGAUUAGCCCAUCCAGCGGGGUGGAAGCUGACCAGUAGUGGUUGGUGGUUGAUGGCAGACGCGACUGAAGCACGUGCAGCCACCCAAGUAUUUGGUUCUCUUUGAAACGCGAUCCCUCUCAGAUCCUGCGUACACCCUUUCGUGGGCUGCACGUCCGCGCUUUCCGGUUGGCGUAAGGGACACGAACGUAGCUUCGCCAUCGACCAUGAGCGGCGCCAUCGCUCUGAAAGCGAUGGCUUCCUCCAGAGUGUGAGCUUCCGACACGCCCCCUCGCGAUACAGCCUGGCAGAUGCCCCGAGUCGGACGUUGUGGCGGGCGUGCGAGUUCUUUUUUUUUCGAGCUCAUAGUUCCCCAUCCUUUUCUUCGCCGGUGCUCCACGUGUGGAUACGGAAGAACAGAACUUUCACACGCACACACGCGCGAGCACAGGGCUUUGAUAUUCUCUAUUUCUUGCCACCAGGUGUUCCAUAUAUGCAGACAUGUACGUGUCUAUGUGUACAUCGAUAUGGGGCACUGUAUGCGAUACUCCCAGCUCAUGCGGGCGCAGUCCUUUUCUUUGCUGUUUGUUCCUUUUCCUGAUUUAGGUCCCCUUUUGUCAACUCUUUUUCCUGACCGAGCAAACUCUUCUCCGCCUCACCUCGGGUGAGCCUCCUCCAAUGGCCUGAAACUGGCCACGCGGCUUCUUGUUUGGGCAAUAGCCUACUAGCGACUCGAGGGGCUGGAGGGGAAAGGACUCGGACCAGGCGAAACCGAGCAGGCUGAAGGGUGUGUAAGGGAUGACUUCUUACACCCACCCACCCAC
rnacentral:misc_RNA from 1 species